UAUUUUGGCUUAUUUAAACCAUUCUUUUCGUAACAGGCUACGACUAUCCAGGGCUUUAUCCCAGCUGGGAAGAUUGAGGCUUACUUGCGACACCUGAGAGCUGGUGGGACUUAUUGACUCCACAAUUUUUUCGGGUCCCAGAACAAGCCUAAUUACCGUGUAGCUGAUCCAGAUGUAACGAUCAGUUUCUCAUGGAACUUUGUGCUCUCAGAGCUAGUGGAUAGCUCGGUCCGUUUCCCCGUGGAUCGGAUCCGCACCCAUGGGUACGAAGCAUUUGAUGCUGCUUGUGAUAUGAAAGGUGAUCUAUAUGAUUACAUUGGACACAUCAAACUUGUGAAUGGGCAGGUUCCCAGUGAUGGUCUCUUAUUCAAUGAGCCCAGCAUUGAUGCUUCCCGCCGAGUUGAUCUUCAUGUCCAGAGACAUGAGUAAGUGAUUUCUGUCUUAACCAACUCUCAAUUAAGAGCUUCCUGACCACUCGAUAAUGUUUUGUCCCAGCGAGCCCGUGUUGAAGCUGUGCUUCUGGGAUCAGGCUGCUGCUGAGUUUUGGAAGAAAUUUAAAGCAUCUGCAGGCACUUCCCGUGUUAUCCUGGUCACUACCUUAAACCCAAAACGUUAUGGAAGUUCGUUUUACUAACUCUUAGAUGUUAGGCAGAAUUUGGAUCAUAUAUUGUUAAACCUGCUAUUACUGUGAUGACAUUGACCGAUAGUAAUAUAAGUGGAUUUCUGAGACUUGGCUUUAGAGAUUGUAACAUGUGUAUAGUUAUAAGAUGUGUAUAUUACACUUAGACUGGGUAAUUGGAUAACUGAGUAACUGAUAUAAAUAUAUAAAAUUUUCGUCUUAGUUGAUUAUACCACAAUUUCUUCUUUGAUACGGGUUGGUACUAUGUGUGCAGUCUUAUCUCUGUCUUCUAUGACGCCAUCUCGUGUGUUUUCGGAUGAUGAUAUCCAAGAAACCCGGGACUACCUUAGCUGGUUUAUCUCGAACCAGGAAGUUGCCAACAGAAUCAAUGCGGAUGUGGUCGUGAAACCUGAGAAUGCGACCUUGGGUUGCUUGGUUUGAAUGCACAGCCACACAUUGAUGAUGUUGUGCAUGGAACUAAGUGGUAUUACAUAGGAUGUGGUGAGUGCCAUACCAAGGCAACUAGAGGGCCCACAACCCUCAUGUGAAAGAAGUGUGGAAAGAGUGAGAUUGUUGGCGUGGCUCAAUACCUGACCAAGCUAUCGGUCUAUGACAACAAGGAUCAAGCUUUCUUGGUCUUACUUGGUGAUGCUGGUGAAGAGUUGUUUGGGAAGAAGGCUGCAACGUUGGUGGAGAGCUACUACGAGGCGAAUGAAGAUGUUGGAGAAGAUGACAUUGUUCCAGUUCCACAAGUUAUGAUUGACACCAUUGGACAGACAAGGAAGUUCAUUGUGAAGGUGUCAACCCACAACUUAGCUGGGAAGACUCAGACCUUAACUGUCACAAAGGUGUUACCUCCUGAGGCAUCGGGUGUCAAAGCUGAAGAGGUCGGUAAUGAAGGGGAUGAUCAUGCAGCUGAGUCGGUGAAAAGGGCUGCUGAUGGGGAUGGGUCCGAAGGUGUGAAGCGUGCGAGAAGUGGCUAAAAUUGAGUCACAUGCUUAUUGCUCAUUUUAUGUUGCUUUAUAAGACUAUGCUUUGGGUUUUUUUCUUUCAUGGAUUUGGUUUUGCAUUAUUAUUACAAACUUGGGUUUUAAUAUCUAUUGAUAAUAAUAUCUU